rnacentral:rRNA from 1 species
UACGUAGGGGGCAAGCGUUGUCCGGAAUCAUUGGGCGUAAAGCGCGUGUAGGCGGCCCGAUAAGUCCGCUGUGAAAGUCCAGGGCUCAACCCUGGGAUGCCGGUGGAUACUGUCGGGCUCGAGUCCGGAAGAGGCGAGUGGAAUUCCUGGUGUAGCGGUGGAAUGCGCAGAUAUCAGGAGGAACACCAAUAGCGAAGGCAGCUCGCUGGGACGGUACUGACGCUCAGGCGCGAAAGCGUGGGGAGCGAACAGG